AUUGAACGCUGGCGGCAGGCUUAACACAUGCAAGUCGAGCGGGGAAGGGUAGCUUGCUACCUAACCUAGCGGCGGACGGGUGAGUAAUGCUUAGGAAUCUGCCUAUUAGUGGGGGACAACAUUCCGAAAGGAAUGCUAAUACCGCAUACGCCCUACGGGGGAAAGCAGGGGAUCUUCGGACCUUGCGCUAAUAGAUGAGCCUAAUUCAGAGUAGCUAGUUGGUGGGGUAAAGGCCUACCAAGGCGACGAUCUGUAGCGGGUCUGAGAGGAUGAUCCGCCACACUGGGACUGAGACACGGCCCAGACUCCUACGGGAGGCAGCAGUGGGGAAUAUUGGACAAUGGGCGCAAGCCUGAUCCAGCCAUGCCGCGUGUGUGAAGAAGGCCUUUUGGUUGUAAAGCACUUUAAGCGAGGAGGAGGCUACUUGGAUUAAUACUCUAGGAUAGUGGACGUUACUCGCAGAAUAAGCACCGGCUAACUCUGUGCCAGCAGCCGCCGUAA
rnacentral:rRNA from 1 species